GCUUACGGCCAUACCAGCCUGAAUGCGCCCGAUCUCGUCUGAUCUCGGAAGCUAGGCAGGGUCGGGCCUGGUUAGUACUUGGCUGGGAGACCGCCUGGGAAUACCCGGUGCUGUAAGCU
rnacentral:rRNA from 1 species